rnacentral:rRNA from 1 species
GCAGCCUAACACAUGCAGUCGAGCGGUAGCACAAGGAGCUUGCUCCUGGGUGACGAGCGGCGGACGGGUGAGUAAUGUCUGGGAAACUGCCCGAUGGAGGGGGAUAACUACUGGAAACGGUAGCUAAUACCGCAUAACGUCUUCGGACCAAAGUGGGGGACCUUCGGGCCUCACACCAUCGGAUGUGCCCAGAUGGGAUUAGCUAGUAGGUGAGGUUAUGGCUCACCUAAGCAACACUCCCAAGCUGGU